rnacentral:rRNA from 1 species
UACGUAGGGGUCCGAGCGUUUGUCCGGAAUUAUUGGGGCGUAAAAGGGCUCGUAGGCGGUACUGUUGCGUCGGGAAGUGAAAACUUACAGCUUAACUGUGAGCGUGACUUUCGAUACGGGCAGACUUGAGGCAUUAGGGGAGAACGGAAUUCCUGGUGUAGCGGUGAAAUGCGCAGAUAUCAGGAAGAACACCCGUGGCGAAGACGGCUCUCUGGGGACGGUACUGACGCUGAGACGCGAAAGCGUGGGGAUCAAACAGG